CUAGUACUCCCUCCGUCCGAAAAAGUUUGUCCCUCAAAUGGAUGUAUCUAGCACCACCAAGUUAGUGCUAGAUACAUCUAUUUGAGGGACAAGUUUGGGACAAGCUUUUCGGACGAAGGAAGUAGCAU
rfam:Triticum aestivum genome assembly, contig: Triticum_aestivum_CS42_TGACv1_scaffold_569716_7AS